GCCCGGGUGGCUCAGUUGGUUGAGCGUCCGACUUCGGCUCAGGUCAUGAUCUCACAGUUCGUGGGUUCGAGCCCCGCGUCAGGCU
rnacentral:tRNA from 1 species